ensembl:lncRNA
CUGGGCAGGUGCCAUUAAGCGAGAUGGGACUGUCAGUGUCUCCGUUGAUUGGCGGGGUCAGCGGUCCUUCAGUGGGCAUCAGGAAGGUUCGUCCGCCUGGACUCAGACUGCCUUCCUCCUCUAAAGCCUGCUUUAGCCAACGCUGCGCACACACACACACACACACACACACACACACACACACACACACACGAGGUUAACCAGUUUUAAUGGAAAUGUACUAUAUAUUUCCCCACUCCGGUGCUUGGACCCCGAAUAAUCGCUAAUAACAACUAAAAGCUAUGAGGCAGUAAGAUGUGAUCGACGAACUUUUUUGCAGGAGCCAGAGGUGGGCGGAGUAUCGGAGAGUUCUCGUGAGCGGCGGCGAGCGGCGGGCACCGCAGGGGUGCUGGGGCUGCGACUGGCCAGGAACGGAGAAGAAAAUCGGACGUAGUGCUUGGGCGUGCUGUAGACAUGUGGGCUGCAGGCCAUGCCGGGAAGAGAGUUGAGCUGCGUGGCUAAAACUUCGGGAUCAGUGCUGAUCCUCAGCGGCCGAUCAGGGACGGGCUCAGGACUGCGCAUUAUCACGCGCUGCUCUUGCUUCUCCACACUCAGCCACUCGUUCACUAAGUGCUGUGGACGGGGAGGGAGACAAUUAUGAGAUGAAAAAGAGACAGAGAGAAUAAACAAUAUACAAAAUUGGAUCAUUAAUGCAUAUGUUGGUAGUGAAACUUGUAACUACCCACAGAGUAUCUACAGGCUCAAGGAUAAGAUUAGCCCGACCAUGGCAAAGUAAACCCGAACAUCAUCCAGGGUUCAGGCCAACAAUGCAACUAUAACAAUGUUGAUCUGACCCAAUUUUGGAUGUCAAUGUUGAUGUUGAUGUUUAACCAAAUCAUUUGAGAAUGGACAAAUAAUGUCAACAUUGACUUAAAUGUCAACUGGAGAUUGGGUCAGCGAUGACCAGGUUGAGAAGAACGUUGCCAGAAAUGUAAAUUCUGGUCCAAAUGUCAUUCAGAGACCGAGUCAUCAAUCUUGACUUUGACUCGAAACUGUCAGAGCCAAAAACAACAAUGCUGACCCCAAGGUCUUCCAGACAUUGCUAACCCAAACGUUGUCUCGACAUUGAGAUGACGAAGAUGAGACAUAAUUGGGAUUGAUCCAACCGUCACCCAGAGACGUCACUGCUAAGCUGAUUUCCAGGCCAGUUGUUUAAACAACCUGACUCGAAUGGUGUUCAGCGAUCACCUGUCAACAGUGUUGACCCAAACAUUCUUGAAGAUUUGGUCAACAAUACAGUUUGUGGCCCAAGUGCUGUCCUUUGAAGAGGCAAAUGAUACUGACAUCAAUCCAAACGUUCUCAUGACUGCGUUGAUGUUGACCCAAACAUCAUUUGAAGAUUGGGCCAAUGACAAUGAUAUUAACCCAAAAUUGUCCAGAUCGGGGCAACACUAUCCAUGUUGAUCCAACCUCUGUCCAGUGGUGUCAGUGACACUGCUGAUCCAACCUCGGUCCAGAGAUUGGACCAGCGAUUAUGAUGACGUUGACCAAACUUCGUCAAUUAAUGUUGACCCAAAUAUUGUUCAGAGAUCAAAUCAACAAUGUCAGAGUUGACCCAAACAUCGGCAGAGAUCUGGACAACAAUGUUGACCCCAAUGGAAAUCAGGCCAAAAGACUGACUCAAAAGAUUUCCAGAGAUCUGGUAAACAGUGUUGAUGUUAGUCAACAGUAUCAAUGUUGAAUAGAUCGUAAUCCAGAGUUUGGGGAUUCUAACGUUGUCUUUAGAUGAGGAAAAGAACGUUGAUGUUGAGCCAAGCUUUAUUUUGAGAUCGGGACAACUUUGUCUCCUGAAGCUUGGGCCAACGAUAAUCAAACAUUGUGACCAAAUAUUGUCCAGAGAUCGGGGCGAACACUGUCUAUGUUAAUCCAAUCAUCAUGUAAUUGUAAUUGUUGACAUGACCUUAGUCUGGAGAUUGGGCAAAUCAUGUUGAUUGGACCAGCAAUGCUGGACAUUCAGAUGAACAUUGCCAUAUUUUUAAUUUGUAUUUGGGCUAAAAUAAGUUAACUUAAAGGCCGAAGCUCUUCAGAUUCAGUAAUGUCAGUGGUGUUAAGAGAGGGUUCCCUUUUACCUUUUUCGUUUUGGGAUACUUGUGCCCAGGUGAAGUGUGAGGUGGGCUGGCAGUGGCGUCUGGGCUGUGAGAAGGUGGAGCUUCAGUCUCAGGCACCGCUCCGGUCUCCCCAUCCUGCGUUUCGGCCAUUAGCUGGGUUUCCAGAGCGUCUCCGGGGGACGCUGGCGGCGGGUCGGAGCAGGCGCUGGCCGUGCGUGUUCGCCGUCUCUGCUGCCCGAUAUGUGUUCGGUUUCGAGAGAAACUCUUCCUCUGCUUGUUCCGGCUGACCUUCGCUGCCUUCUGAGCCACCUCCUCCUUCACCGGCUCCAACAACGGCUGAACAUCAAAAACACGACCACGGACCGAGUCAGAAUAAUCCGAAUUAUACAGAUACUCCACCUAAGAAUAAAAAAUAAAUGCGUUGCCUACCGUAGCAGGUGACUCCACCUCUGGAGUAGCAGGAGGCUCUUCUUUGAUUUCACCACGAGUUCCCACCUCUCCCUUGGUGCCGAUUCUUUCCAGAGCUUGCUCCCUCCGUUUCUCCCUCUUCUCCAUGCGGGCAAACGCCUGCAGGAUGGCCUCCAUCUUCCUCUCCUCACGCGUCUAUACAAACAUCAAGACAAAGCAAGAGCGGGAUAAGGAUGCGUGGGAAACCGCUGGGAGUCGCGUAGGCAGGAAACCAGCAGCAGAGAAAAGGCACAGAACAGAUAGCAUCAGAGCUUUUUUAGAAAAUCUUUUGGGGGCCAACAAGCUGUAAUGCUCCUACCUUACUUACUUGUCUUCCCCUACCAAGUUCAGUUCCCACACUGAAAUGCCUAGAAGUGUUUCUGAACAAACAUCGAGGACAGAUCGGUCUGUGACUCACCAACAACCCGUAAAAGCUCAGCCGCAGUCCACACCUUUGACCAAAUUUUCAUCAACUUGGACACGUUUAUGGCAGUUACUGUCACUUACAGAUGGAGACAUCAGAGUAAAGGAUGCACUGUCAAAGCCCUCGUUCAUUUCCAUUUUAAUCCACACCAGCUAUGUAAAAUGUGCAAGACAGUUGCUUUAAGAUUUGACUCUUUUUAAACCACCCCAUAUCACCUUAGGGAGGUUUUCCUCACCACCGUUACCACUGGCUCACUCAAUAGGUAUAAAUUCACACUUAAAAUUUGUAUCCUGUGUUUAUAUAUUUCUGUAAAGAUGCUUUCUGUAAUGUCCAUUGUUAAAAGAGCUAUACAAAUAAAAUUGUACUGAAUUGAAUGUCACAUGUAAACUCUAUAAAAACUCAAUGAAAGAACAAAACCACACUUUUUAUAUGAUUCCCACUAUUUAAGAUCAUAAUCUACAAAGAUAUCAUGCCCGUUGUCCAUGAUACUCUUUCGACAUCAACAUGGAGAAGCAAAAUAAACAUAAAUACACACCGAUUAUUCACGGUCUCAUGUCAGGUUUUUGUAAUUAGAGCUGGCAGAUUGCUACGAACAGAACAGGCCUCGUAACAAAGACUUGAGAGCAAACCAGACUCAGCAGUGCGAGUUACAGAUUGAGGAAGUGUGAUCAGAUUUGCUGGAAGGGGCGUGGCCAAGAGGGGACAUGGUUAGCGGCAGGAGAUUCCGGUCGCUCCUAAACAAGACUUAUUGCAUUAAUUAUUAAACAUAGCUCUCAAAACUGAAAAAAAAACCAAAUGGCAAGAAAUGUAAAUUAACGUCCUGGUAACUGAUAAUCAGAUCACGGGGUUGCCAAAAAAGAUUAAAAAUGAUGUGCGGUGUCGCUCAUUCUCCUGUCAGUAACAAGUGCAAAAACGCACCUGAAACAGUGUGGGAUCUGGGUGAACGCUCGGCUAGUCUGCUAGUGAGCUAGCUUGCUAACUAGCGAGCACUAAAGUUUCAGCAUAUGUCGUGCAUGAGUGGUGCCACUGGAAUGAUCAAACCAAAUAUAAACCAAAAGAACAAAAAGUUAAGAUGUGGAACAUGGUAUGUUUUGUUCUGGUUUAUAAAUCUGGAGCAAAGCCUUAAGCUCCGGACGUCUAUAGUAACAUCGAGUUGAUCCCCCGGCUCGGAAACGUCACUGCAGCCAGCCAACCAAGCAAUCCAGCCGAGGGAAUUAGAGACAGGAAGUGGAAAAGAGGAGGAUGUAUUUAAAGCAGCAGUGGUACAGAGGGUUAUUGUGUUUUCUCCGUCAUUACUAGCUGAGCAACACUACAGCAUCCUGUCAGUAUGACUCAGCAAUGCAAUGUGACAGCUGGGACAGUUCUCCAGAGAGAGAGAGAGAGAGAGAGAGAGAGAGAGAGAGAGAGAGAGAGAGACACACACACACACACGUCCGUGACCUCAUGGUUUCAGAAUAGCAGGCUUUCAGUGGUUUGAAGAUGUUGAACACCUGCUAGUGAGAGAUGGACAUGAAGGUUUAAUCUUCUACCGAUGCAGCGCCUGAAAUAUCCAGCGAGCUCCGCAAUCGUCCACUGAUGUGCUGAAUCACUCUGGAGUUACCGUCCUCCUCCGAACGGAAAGAGGACUUUUCUUCAAACACCAUCCUUUCCACUCGUGUCCUUCGUGAUAAAGGACACGAGUGGAAAGGAUGGUGUUUGAAGAAAAGCUCCAGGAGAAUUCCAUUUCGAUUUGACAUCGUUUCAGUCAUUUCAAUUUAUGUUUUGCAGUGCAUUGCAUAAGUAUCGACCCCCUCCACUGAUCUUGAGACAGACUUCAUUGGGAUUAUGUGUCACAAAGUCUCCCUGAGAACACCAUCCCCACUGUGAAGCAUGGUGGUGGUAGCACCAUGAUCAGAGUCACCCUUGGCCUCUUGGUUGUUUCUCUGACUAAUCCCUUCCUUACUCGGUCACUCUAAACUGCCAGACUGCCUCCUUUAGAUAGAAGCAAGGAGAUGCCAUAUUCUUUCCAUUUUAACAAAGAAUUGUCACGUUUAACGUUGAUUUAAAGUUUUUGUUAUUUAAACAACCGCACUCUGAUACUUUUCCUGUCCCUGACUUGUUUUGAUAGCUCCAGGAUGCCAUCCUGGUGUUCUUCCAGAAACAGAGAUCACGUAACACAUCAUUUACAUACAGGUCGACCCCAUUCAACAAAAUUAUGUCUCUGCAGUUUAUGGAAACUAAUUUAGGGUGAAUACUUAGGCAAGGUACAAACCCAAUCCCUGAUCGUCUGAACCCAACACUGAUCUCAACUAGGUUAUGGGAGAAAUGUCGAUAUAGGUGUAUAAAUUAUACAGAGCUUUAGAAAAGCACAAGUGUGAGUUAUAAAGGAAAAGAGAACGUGAACACUGAUGGAAGGUUGAAGAUGGGAAUGUGAAAAGGAUUGUUCAGGGUUAAGCAAAGGAAGAAGCACCAGCGAGGCAGCAGGUGGCAGUAGAGACUCAGCCUCGCACACACAUGCCUCAACACACACGUCAACACACACCCACAGGGCAAAAGGGAUGCCUGCGUAAGAGGGAGGGCAGGAGGGGUUGCAGCAGAGUUUCCGUGGAAACCGUGAGCGAGCGAGCGAGCGCGCGCCGCGGCGACACCAGCGUCUGCCCCGACGUCACGCACACACUUACCAUCUUCCUCCUCCUCUCUGCCAUGUGCUCCUCCGUCUCCAUCUCUACGUCAUUGCUAACCGAGGUUUGCUCUUCUAGAUCCUCAAAUAACUCAGGAUCCUGUAAGAGGGGGAGAGGGGCCUUAUUCAUCCUCUGCCUUCAUUCAGCACCAGGAGAGAGGGAUGACACAGGGGGAGAUAGAGAGAAAGAGAGCAGGAGGAACGAUGGGGAGACGACGAGCCGGCGAGACCCCUCUCGCUCUGGGUCGGCGUUUAGGGUCAAGCGCCGGCCACUUUAUUCUGUUUAUUUCUCCACAUUCCCAAAGGAAGGCAUCACACAGUACAUUUCUCUUUUGAGUAUACUUUAGUAUAUUUAUUAUUAUCUUUUAUGUUGAUAUUUUUCCUAUUUACUCAAUUUUAAAUCUAAAGUACGAGCCUUUCAUCUUUGUAUUUAAAGAAAUUUAACUCUUUAUUUUCAUUAUUCAUACUUCUUAACUCUUUCUUUGACACAGAAUAAUUAAAGCCAUUAUCUUAUUUUUAUUUGAUUUAUUUUUAUAUUUUGUAGAUUUUAUUAAUUCAAUUCAUUUAAAUUUUAUGUAAUUAUACUCUGCUUGCGAGUAUUAAAUUAUAUUUUAUUUUUCACCCAUGUUUAAUUGUUUAUUUGUUUUAUUGUUUAUUUGUUUUUUGCAGUAAUUUUAUUAAUUUUUAAAAUUUUCUUUCCUGCCACACUGACUCCAUCACCACCUGUACUAAGUUUUCUUUAUUUUAUGGACUGAUUUUAUAUUUGGUUAACGAGGGAAGAUCUUUAAAGAAAAAGGGGAAAAAUGUGGACAGAGGAUCAUGACAAUGACUCUUCUGUAUUUAAAAACAAAACAACUGUUUAACAUAAAGGCAUAAUUUUAAACUAUUAUUUAAACAAAGUUCAUUAUCGAAACAAUGCACAAUCAGUAAUGAAUGAAGUAAAAAUCUGUGAUAUUUAAUAAAGUGUAAGUGUGUGUGUGUGUGUGUGUGUGUGUGUGUGUGUGUGUGUGUGCGCGCACUGAUCAGUGGUGGCUGUUGUCACAUGUCCACAUCAGUGCUGUCGCAGCUGACCUUCAUUACGAUCCAGAUAACAUUCGAUUUGCCAAACAACUCGUUUAACUGCUUUGUGAAAGAUUUCUGAAAUAUGACCUCGGUUAAAUUGAUGGGAAAAAUGAUCCACUCUAAAGGAGAGUCCAAACUAAAACGUAAAAAUCCAGAAACAUGGCCCAGGGGAACAAAAACGAGAAAUGAGCCACAGUAACAGAAUAUGCAGAGAAAGAAUCAUGUUAAAAUACCGUCCAGGAAAAUUAUCUUAAAAACACAAUUGAAAAACUAUCUAAAAAAUUCUAAAAUAACUACCCGAGAGAGUAACCCAGGCUAAAGAACUACCCGAGGGAGUAACCCAUGAUAAAGAACUACCCGAGGGAGUAACCCAGGCUAAAGAACUACCCGAGGGAGUAACUCAGGAUAAAGAACUACCCGAGAGAGUAACCCAUGAUAAAGAACUACCCGAGAGAGUAACCCAGGAUAAAGAACUACCCGAGAGAGUAACCCAUGAUAAAGAACUACCCGAGAGAGUACCCAGGCUAAAGAACUACCCGAGAGAGUACCAGGCUAAAGAACUACCCGAGAGAGUAACCCAGGACAAAGAACUACCCGAGAGAAUACCCAGGCUAAAGAACUACCCGAGAGAGUAACCCAGGCUAAAGAACUACCGAGAGAGUAACCCAGGAUAAAGAACUACCCGAGAGAAUACCCAGGCUAAAGAACUACCCGAGAGAGUAACCCCAGGAUAAAGAACUACCCGAGAGAGUAACCCAUGAUAAAGAACUACCCGAGAGAGUACCCAGGCUAAAGAACUACCCGAGAGAGUAACCCAGGAUAAAGAACUACCCGAGAGAUAAACCCAGGAUAAAUAACUACCUGAGGGAGUAACCCACGAUAAAGAACUACCGAGAGUGUAACCCAGGAUAAA